rnacentral:rRNA from 1 species
ACACAUGCAAGUCGAGGGGUAUAGUAGCAAUACUAGAGACCGGCGCACGGGUGCGUAACGCGUAUGCAAUCUACCUUUUGCAGAGGGAUAGCCCAGAGAAAUUUGGAUUAAUACCUCAUAGUAUAACGACUCGGCAUCGAGAUGUUAUUAAAGUCACAACGGCAAAAGAUGAGCAUGCGUCCCAUUAGUUAGUUGGUAAGGUAACGGCUUACCAAGACUACGAUGGGUAGGGGUCCUGAGAGGGAGAUCCCCCACACUGGUACUGAGACACGGACCAGACUCCUACGGGAGGCAGCAGUGAGGAAUAUUGGACAAUGGGCGCAAGCCUGAUCCAGCCAUGCCGCGUGCAGGAUGACGGUCCUAUGGAUUGUAAACUGCUUUUGCACAGGAAGAAGCAACGCUACGUGUAGCGUCUUGACGGUACUGUGAGAAUAAGGAUCGGCUAACUCCGUGCCAGCAGCCGCGGUAAUACGGAGGAUCCAAGCGUUAUCCGGAAUCAUUGGGUUUAAAGGGUCCGUAGGCGGUCUUAUAAGUCAGUGGUGAAAUCUCCCCGCUCAACGGGGAAACGGCCAUUGAUACUGUAGGACUUGAAUUAUUAGGAAGUAACUAGAAUAUGUAGUGUAGCGGUGAAAUGCUUAGAGAUUACAUGGAAUACCAAUUGCGAAGGCAGGUUACUACUAAUGGAUUGACGCUGAUGGACGAAAGCGUGGGUAGCGAACAGGAUUAGAUACCCUGGUAGUCCACGCCGUAAACGAUGGAUACUAGCUGUUGGGCGCAAGUUCAGUGGCUAAGCGAAAGUGAUAAGUAUCCCACCU